GUGGCGCACGGGUGCGUAACGCGUGGGACUCUGCCCUUGGGUUCGGAAUAACAGUUGGAAACGACUGCUAAUACCGGAUGAUGUCGUAAGUCCAAAGAUUUAUCGCCCAAGGAUGGGCCCGCGUAGGAUUAGCUAGUUGGUGAGGUAAAGGCUCACCAAGGCGACGAUCCUUAGCUGGUCUGAGAGGAUGAUCAGCCACACUGGGACUGAGACACGGCCCAGACUCCUACGGGAGGCAGCAGUAGGGAAUAUUGGACAAUGGGCGAAAGCCUGAUCCAGCAAUGCCGCGUGAGUGAUGAAGGCCUUAGGGUUUUAAAGCUCUUUUACCCGAGAUGACAAUGACAGUACCGGGAGAAUAAGCCCCGGCUAACUCCGUGCCAGCAGCCGCGGUAAU
rnacentral:rRNA from 1 species